rnacentral:lncRNA from 1 species
GUGGUUAACUUCGCCAGCGGCCCCUUUUCCCGGGGCAGUCCCUGCUCUCCCCUGCUAGAGAGGCACCCUAAUCCGUCACCCCAUCCGACUUCAGAAUGUAUUCGUUGGGUUCGGCAACUCACCACCAGCAUCCAACCAAAUCUAGUGGAUCAACGGCGCAUCAACUAGGUUCCUGGUCAGCUUGCAAGUUGAUUUUAUCACGUUCUACAUCGUCCAUAUGAUGGGGGGCCACCUCCCAUUUCAACAAAACAUUCCUUAAACACCCGAGGAGCCGGCAGGCGGAUUUGAACCCGGGGCGGCCGGGAGCAGAAGUCAGGCCUUAACCUCUUCCAGCCGCCUGCCACUCGUGCAAUGUGUUCCCGGACUUAUGGCUUCAAAGAGGAUGCCAUUCAUUUGUUCCGUACAGGUAUCGGCAAGAGCAUUUUCCUGUACUACUUGCUUCAUCAGCUGGCGUGCCUGGGCAAAACCGUCGUGUGGCAUGACGAGUUGAUGGCUUCUGUGCUGCUGUACACACCCAACGGUGUGUUCCAGGCAGACUCCAUUGUCCCAUUUACAAAGGAGCUAGAAAAUCCGAGUACAUGGUAUGUUGUGCAAAGCAGGGCUAGCGAUUUUGCUGUGCAUUCUCGAAGCUCUGUCGCAUGUUGAUCGUGGUGCGACCUAAUCAUGUUCUGUGUUGACUCGCUCAUCAGGUUCUUAUGUGACGGUGUGGAGCCGGUGUCCACGGCGGCAAUCACUGUGAUGGCAUCCUUGCCCCGCAGCUCAAAGUACCAAGUAAGUGCAUGAACCGUGGAAAACGGUUACAAGUACUGUGUGUUCCAGUCGCUUGAAGCAUAAGGGGUUGUGUUACUCAUGCCGAAUGCAACCUUGUGUCACCAGUUCAGGGGCACAUCUUGCGGUAGUAUCAGUUUUCAGUUUUUGGCCGUACAUAUCCGUAUCAUGUGCGUUGUACCACCACACUAUGUAGAAGUACGACAAGGAAGGUCCCAUACAGCUGUGGAUGGGCCCCUGGUCCGUGUCGGAGCUAAAGGCGGCGCGUGACGCCAUUUUCACCUCGGUCGACGCUGAUGAACUACAACGGCUUUAUGUUCGCUGGGGUGGCAUCCCGCGCUUUGUGUUGCGACAUGCAAAUAAUGCAUGCCAGCAGCAGAAGCUUGACGAGGUGAUAGCAGUUGCAAAUCCAGAGCUGAUAUAUAAAGCAGUAUGUUACAUCGAAGGGGCGUCAGAUUAUAACCACAAGCUGCUUCACGUCCAGGUGCGAAGCCUCUCAAGAUGAUAGGCAGUGGGUAUCCAAUGCUGCAAGCACAGGCCUUAGGUAAUAUGUGUCUCCUAGGGUGUGCUUCAGGUGUAUAUGUCAUGGCCGGGGGGGUAACCUUAGCUGAACUAGUGGAAUGAUAAUUACCUAACAUGCAUAUGGCUGGUCAGUAAUUCCCAUUACAAUGCCCUCUGAUACUACAAUGCCCACUGAAAGCAAGGCUAUUUUUGUAGGGUACAUGGUGGGCCUGAACUGCGUACCCUUAGACAAAAGCAUUUACCCAGUUUUGGAUUAUUGUCGCAUGUACAUGCAGGUGAACGAGAAAUGCGAGGAGGUCGGCCGAGUCUUCGGCUCAGUGGAAAUUGCACAGCGCCUGCAGCAGCUGCUGAUGCGGCAGCGCUCGGUAUGGUUUGACGAUCUGCUUUACUGGUCUGCUGGCAAGCCGGAACUGGCCUCGCUGAGGGCCCAGCUGUUUGAGUGUGCAGCCCAUGAAGCACUAUGUAAGGGUGGCGCAUUUCGUGUGCGCAGCCUUUCCAACCCCGAACAGCAGGUCAGUCAACUGAAGGUGGGCCAAAUGGAGCAGAAAGUAGUAUGGGACAGCGACCUAAAAGAAGUGAACCUUGAAACAACAAAAUCGGGGUGCCUGAUGGUGCCUGUGUUGAAGGACUUCCCAGCCGCCGUGGACAGCUUUCUUCUUUUGCCGAGCAGUGAAUGCAGGCCAGGACGGCUGCUCUUCAUCUUGGCGACCUUUACAGCCCAGCGCCCGAUUAGCGUGCGGGGGUUGCUAGAUGCCGUACAGAAGUUAUCCGGGGACCUUCAGGGGCUCAAGCGAGAGCUGUAUUUUGCAGUGCCGCCUGAGCUCUUUGACUCAUUCACGGAACAACACUUUGACGGGCUUGAGAUGGAGGUGGACACCAUCAAGAUGGAGCAAUAUGCCAUUGAGGUCCCGGUAGCAGGCUUCUGCACAGAUGUCAAGCAAAGCAGUCCUGGAAGUGCUAGCAGUAGCAGCAGUAGCAGUAGCCACAGCAACGGGACGGCUGCUGGCAGAGGUAGUCGUAUUGCACCAUCUGCCUUGAGCAGGUCCUCAUCCAGCACUUUGGCUCAUUGGGGGAGCAGCCAUCGGCCAAGGAUGAAUCCCCACAUGGUCUUGCUUCGGAAAUCCCUUAUCUCGCGCGUCUCAUCUGCUUCGAGGUGGAUGUGGUGAUGCUGGUGGCUAUUGCAAGGGAUCCAAAAGUGGUUCGGAAAGGGUGACAUUGUGGCCACUGGGUCAUUGAUGUGGUUACAGAGGCUGCAGUACAAAGUACAAAGAAGUCCUCCACUCUGCUUGGCAUGAUGGGUCUGUUGACAUGUUUUACCAUGAUGCCUGUUUGGCCCCUUCAUGCACGGGCAUGUGACACUUCAAAAGCCAUUGUUCCUUCCAGGGCUGCAAUCUCUGAGGUAGCUUGACGUGAUCCUGAUCCUGACUGUCUUGCUUUUUUUCUGUUUCGCCAGAUUACUCAGUCAGCGCGUGAACCAAAAGGUAAAAGGAAAUGUCCCCGAGAAAAACCCCGUCCCUGAAGCUUGACAGUAUAAACAUACACACCCCGUUCAUAUCCGCCUGCCAACCUCUCGGUGUGUGAGGGGUGUUGAAAUGGGAGGCAGUGUUUUUUUUGGUAAUAUAUUACUUUUUUGGGAAUAAAUGGGGGUCUGAGCCUGGAAGAAAUGGAAUAAUUGGUCAGUUGGCCGUACUGGUUCAUUACUUCGGCCAUAAGUCGCCCCAAAUGCAUUCUGCACAUAUAAAUCUGAACAUUUGGAGCUUAUACACUAUUUACGUAUAAAAUAUUUGAUGAUAUCACCAUGAGACGGCCCGCUGUUGCAUUCAACUUAGGUCAACGGGGCAUUCGUUCAUUCUUGACCAAAGCAAACGGCCCAGAAAGUCCGCAGACUCAAUGCCCCAAACAUUUAGAAGAAGAAUUGGAUAAUACAGAAGACAAGGAUAGGCAUGCUGUAGUUGCCGCUCUUGAAGUCAGUGAAGCCAGCGAUUUGAGCGAAGCUUAGGAUCCCCUGGUGAAGCGGCAACGCACAACUGCAGCAACCAGCGACUCAGCUGAGCAGCUCGAUUCUGACGAGGAAGGGCCACCACCCCAAGAUGUCGCCACGGCACCACCGUCACCUUCAAGGGCGGGUGCUUCGCAGCACGCACCGCUGGUGAUUUAAAAGCAGGCGCAGCGCCAGCAAACACAGUGCUGUGCGUUUCCAGACGUCAGGUGUUGUUUACAGCACACCGUACAGCCUUUGAGGGGGGGGUCGGGGGGGGGAAACCAGCUUCCUUUCGAUACCCGGGAAUCCCUUCAUCUAGUUGUCGUUUCGUGCUCAUUCGUGCUCAUUUCAUAACGAAGGGCUGAGGGGCCUUCAGAGCAUAUCGACGGAGUUCGGCUGAAAUGGCCACUUAGCAUGCAAAAGCCCUGUAAUAUCGCCAUGCCAGGGAUUGUUUUAAUUACUUAUGACUGUAUGUAUGUUGUUACAGGGUGGUUAACUUCGCCAGCGGCCCCCUUUCCCGGGGCAGUCCCUGCUCUCCCCUGCUAGAGGGGCACCCUAAUCCGUCACCCCAUCCGACUUCAGAAUGUAUUCGUUGGGUUCGGCAACUCACCACCAGCAUCCAACCAAAUCUAGCGGAUCAACGGCGCAUCAACUUAGUUCCUGGUCAGCUCGCAAGUUGAUAUUAUCACGUCCUACACCGUCCAUAUGAUGGGGGGCCACCUCCCAUUUCAUCACUCCUCAAACACCCGAGGAGCUGGCAGGCGGAUUUGAACCCGGGUCUACUGGAUCGACUGGGAGCAGAAGUCAGGCCUUAACUUCUGCCAGCCGCCUGCCUGUAUGCAUUGUUCCAACGUGAGUUAUCAUGAAUUCUGAGCUCAUCCCACCAAGAAUUGCAUGGUUUUGCGACAUCGUGUUAAUUGUGUGCUUCAGUAUAGCAACCUGUCCAUUUUUACUCCACUAAGCCUAUAUGUCUAUAACUAAGUGACUGACACAUGUCCCGC